rnacentral:tRNA from 1 species
GGCCUUGAAGCUCAGUUGGCUAGAGCACUGGCUGUAUUCAAGCUUUUCCCUUGCUUGCGUGGGUUUGAAUCCCACCGAGGCCA